rnacentral:tRNA from 1 species
GCGGUAGUAGCUCAGCUUGGUUAGAGCACUUGUUUGUGGAACAAGGGGUCGAUGGUUCGAGUCCAUCCUACCGUA